UGCUUACAAGCAGCUGUAUGUCAAACACGAAGCUCUCCAGCUGAUCACACCACAGUUUGAAACCCCUCUGCCUCCGCUGCAGCCUGCCGUGAGUCUGUUUGCAAACGCACAUUAGCUUAGAGUUUAUUUGUUACCACAAGACAAAAAGAAAAAAUGUAACCAAACCAAACGCUGUCUGUCUCUGAUGCAACUUUUCUAUUCUGCUGAUGCAACCAAGGCUGCAUGGGUGGAGAAGUGCAAUUAUAACUCAAUAACCCCUUGGCUAACUGCUAGCUGGUCAGACUAGUUCACAGGACAUCAUCCCUGCAGUACUCUAUGCUGGAUCAAAUACUUUCAUUAUUAUUUGCCUUGAUUUUCCUGCAUUAUUCCAUGCUAAAUGUAGUACAUAGUUCACAACUAGUUUGCUUUCUUGUUUAUGGGUCUGUUUGUAGAGGCUUUGUUUUGUGUUCAGGUCUUUCAGCCGGCCUUCAGGGACCUUCCGCCUCCCAUGCUUGACCUUUUUGACCUUGAUGAGACAUUUUCUUCUGAGAAAGUGAGGCUGGCUCAGCUCUCAAAUAAAUGUGAGUCUCUACCAUUCGUUCAGAUGCUCAGAAAGAGUUCUAAUACUGUCACUGUGUCAGCUCGAGUGGUUGCUGAUUGAUUGGUAAUGGAUGUCUCGUCUUCUGGAAGGUACCGACGAUGAUCUGGAGUUUUAUGUACGUAAAUGUGGAGACAUCUUAGGAGUGACAGGGAAGUUAGACAAGGACAAACGAGAUGCCAAGCACAUACUGGAACACAUCUUCUUCCAGGUGGUGGAGUUUAAGAAAAUCAAUCAAGAGCACGAUAUUGACACCACAGAAGCAAGGUUCAACGUGUAUUGAAGUAGACAGGCCGUGGAUCUCUGGAGUUUUGCAGCAAGGACUUGUUUUUGAGAUCUGUGUGAAUAUACACAGUCUAGACACUCAAACUGUGCUUUACUUCCAGUACGAGAAAAGUCAAGAGUGCUUUGUCAGAACUUCCUCAGGCAUAUGGUUUAAAGAAUCCACUACAUUUCUUGUAACAAGGUUCUUUUUUUUUUUUUUAUAUAAAUAUGAGCUUAGUUGUCUCACGUUGGAGCAUUUGUAUACAUACACAUUGGGGUCCAAAUCCCGUGUUUGAGAUUGAUAUUUUGGAUCACGCACUGCUUUACGUCACUGAAAAAAAAUAAAAUAAAAUCCGGCACUUAAUGAAAAAGGUGAUGCUCUCAUGUUUCACUGAUGCAGGACCUCGAGAAAGUACAGUAUACACUAAAUAUCCUUUUAUUUCUAGGUUGAUGUGAGCCAGUCAGCUGAACCUAAAUGCCAGGGCUGUCCAAACCUGUUCCUGGAGGCCCGCUGUCCUGCGGAGUUUAGCUUAAACCCCAAUUAAACACAACUGAUCAAAAUAAUAGGCUUCAGGCUCACUAGAAACUUCCAGGCAAGUGUGCUGGAGCUAAAAUCUGCGGGACGUUGGCCCUCAGAGAGCAGGAUUGAACACCCCAGAGUCCCAGGACCACAGCAGCAGACAGAGAUUAAUAUAGAAGCAUUUUCACUUGCGGUCUCAGUUAUAUUCACCCUCUAUUGUCACUGUAUUCUUCGGCCCACAUUUCCACGGUGGAUGAAGUAAUUGCACAUUCUGAAACAUGUUAUUGAUCAAUCAAAGAGACAUCGGUUUGAGUAGACUCUGUGACAUUAAUGAAUGCAAGUCAUUUCAACGCGCUUUAUUUUUUGAUUAAAUACAUUUCUCUUAGUAGUAAGAAUCACAGUAAGAAGCCUGUAAAAUAAAGAGGCAUAUUAGAACAAACCAAGUUUUUCCAGGCUUAGCGUUAGUGCACAUACACACCUCAAAUAUGGUGUCUGUCAAAUGGCCAAGUUAGAUGAGCUCUGUCCCUCUCGGGGAUCUGGGAUUGCAGGAACCUGACUAGAUCCCUGCCGGACCAUUUCCCUCCACGAGCGCUGGAGCUCCUCUGAAACGUUCGGGUGAGGUGACCUUCCUGACGACACCAGAGAGGCCUCAGGGGGGGCCGACAGGUUAAUAGGACUCCAUGUGGACUCCAGACAUGACUUUGGGCUCUCAACUACGGCCUUCACAAAGGACACUUCCCACGACGGGUGAGUGGCGGUCAAAUCUACGCAGGACAGGUCCAGCGAGCUGGCCAGGACGGGUUUCUGACACUGGACUCUCUCGUAGGGCGUGGAGGACUUGCCUUGCACUGGACUGCCCAGCGCUGUGCUCAGGCUGCUGCCAGGAGACAGGACGUUCCUGUUGAGGGCAACUAAAGGAGAUGAAAUGCUCGUGGAGUAGUUCAGACAGGGUGCAACAGCACAGCUGGGCUCUGGAUACUCCAGCACAAUGCCUUUGUUUGGUCUCAGGAAGCCAUCGGCUGAAACCGCUGAUAGAGACAGACUGUGGUCCGCACAAAAGCCUCUGUCGAAGUCAGACAGCGACGGGCCCUCAUAGCUCCGGGCGAGCUCUAGAAAAUAAACAGUGUUUAGUAUAAGAGACAGGUAUAUGUUUAUGUAUACAGGUGAUCUACAAU
rnacentral:lncRNA from 1 species